AAGCCUCAAGUUAUGUGUGACAACCCCCUGA
rnacentral:rRNA from 1 species